rnacentral:lncRNA from 1 species
AGAGAUUUUAACUUGUUACAAAAACUAUUUGUCUCUUCAAAAUGUUUCACCAAUCUUAAAAAAAUAAAUUAAACAUCUUUAAAGUAUAAUAAAUGAGAAGUGUAUGACAGUCAUUUGUUCAUCAUUCAGAUCAACAUCAGGUAAAAUUGAGAUAGGACAAUCUCUGCAAAUACUUUUUCAAAUAAGUCUUCUUAAACUAGUUAAAAAAAUAAUAGAAUAACAAAUCACUUACAGGGCAUAGCUAGGAUAAAAUGAAAAAUUUUCGAGACCAAUUUAUGCAGAUUUUUUUUCCCGUAUGUUUUCGGUCAUAGGAAGGUUGUGCGCAUAGAACUUAUAGACAUCCAUUAAUGCAAACCUAUUUAGAAUUCUUUUGAAUAGGGUAAAUUAUGGUACAUUGAAUACAAAAAAUUUAUUCAAAUUGUCCAAAAUCUGCUCUUCAGGUCUUAGUAGAAACAAAUUUCUCCAUUACUUUGUCCAUAUUCAUACUGAAAUCCUGAUGAAUAUGCAUUAAUGUUAGCAAUGAUGACCUAUCGUUAUUCAUGGUUAAUCGUACAUAUGUUUUCAACCGACAUACCACACUGAACAAUCUUAUCUAUCCACGGUACCGCUCGUUACUAUUGACAAAAUAGUAUCUAUAGAAGGAUACAGCACUGGGCAUCGAGUGUCUCACACGGCCAAGUUGGCAUCUGGUCACAAGGUGUUAUAGUUAUACACCAGCAAUUUUUUGUUCCCCAUUGAGAGACCCUCACAAUUGAUGUGAAUCAUACUUUUUUUUUUUUAUGAUGCAUGAAACUAAAGUAAGACAACAAAUAAGUCUCAAGGACAUAAUGAAAGCCACUCCUAACCUAACUGGAAAACCAUAUAUUGGAUCAGGACGCAAAUCGAACUUCAUCUUUGUUUUAUGAUACUUAGCAUUGUGUAUAAGUUUAAAAACAUUUGGUUGAGGCAAACCUAAGUUAGAGAACUUAAGUUAAAGGUUAGAGAACAGAAAAUGAUUUCUGCAAAUUUUCAGUAAAAAAGGGUUAAUUAUUACUCUUACCAAAAUUUCAACUUGAUCUUAUAAGCAUAAACUUUUUAAUUAUUGAACAUGUAUAUAUAUUUUUGUAUUAUAUUGUAUUUUUUUUUUUAUAUAUUAUAUUAACCCGAAUAAUUCAGUCCCUCCCCGUAAUUGAUCUCUCAUACUUGCAAGGGCCUGAAUUCCUAACACGAUAAAAACUCUUCACAAAUCCUAAAUUUUGAUUGGUUCCCUAUAGAAGAGGUGACCAAUCAGCAAUCAGCUCAAUUUUAUCGAGAUGGGUAAAUCCCGAGUUAAUUCAAAUCAAAUGGUUGAUUGAAGAUUUUUCAUUGUCUAUGCAUUCAGGCGUUAAUGUAGUGAUCGUAGAUCAGCGGAAUAUAACAACUGAAUUAUGACGGGUUAGUAUUAUAUUGUUUAUUUUUUAUUACUCUUACCAUAAUUUCAACUUGAUCGUAUAGGCAUGGUAUUAAACUUUUUAAUUAUUAAACAUGUAUAUAUUUUUUUGUACUAUAUUGUAUAUAUUUUUUUGUAUUAUAUUAACCCGAAUAAUUCAGUCCCUCCCCGUAAUUGAUCUCUCCUACUUGCAAAGGCCUGAAUUCCUAACACGA